rnacentral:rRNA from 1 species
CGGAGGGGGCAAGCGUUGUUCGGAAUUACUGGGCGUAAAGGGCGCGCAGGCGGCUGCUCAAGUCAAGCGUGAAAGGCCUGGGCUCAACCCGGGAAUUGCGCUUGAGACUGGGCUGGCUUGAGUGCGGGAGAGGAUGGUGGAAUUCCCAGUGUAGAGGUGAAAUUCGUAGAUAUUGGGAAGAACACCGGUGGCGAAGGCGGCCAUCUGGACCGCAACUGACGCUGAGGCGCGAAAGCGUGGGGAGCAAACAGGAUUAGAUACCCUGGUAGUCCACGCCGUAAACGAUGAGUGCUAGACGUUGGGAGGCCUAGCCUUCCAGUGUCGCAGCUAACGCAUUAAGCACUCCGCCUGGGGAGUACGGCCGCAAGGUUA